rnacentral:rRNA from 1 species
UACGAAGGGGGCUAGCGUUGCUCGGAAUUACUGGGCGUAAAGCGCACGUAGGCGGACUCUUAAGUCAGGGGUGAAAUCCUGGAGCUCAACUCCAGAACUGCCUUUGAUACUAGGAGCCUUGAGUUCGGGAGAGGUGAGUGGAACUGCGAGUGUAGAGGUGAAAUUCGUAGAUAUUCGCAAGAACACCAGUGGCGAAGGCGGCUCACUGGCCCGAUACUGACGCUGAGGUGCGAAAGCGUGGGGAGCAAACAGG